GACGAACCGUGCGAACGUUAUUCGGAUUCACUGGGCUUAAAGGGCGCGUAGGCGGACGAGCAAGUCCGGGGUGAAAUCUUUCGGCUCAACCGGAAAAGUGCCUUGGAUACUGCUCGCCUUGAGUGAGGUAGGGGCAUGUGGAACUUCCGGUGGGGCGGUGAAAUGCGUUGAUAUCGGAAGGAACGCCGGUGGCGAAAGCGACGUGCUGGCCCUCAACUGACGCUGAGGCGCGAAAGCCAGGGGAGCAAACGGG
rnacentral:rRNA from 1 species